GCCACGAUCGCAUAAUUUGGUAUUGCACUGGACUGCUAAUCCAGGUCCUUCUGGACAUCCCGGUUCAAAUCCGGGUCGUGGCG
rnacentral:tRNA from 1 species